rnacentral:tRNA from 1 species
AAGGAGGAGCAAGAGAACAGCAGGCACUGCUAAUGCUUGUUACCAGGGUUAAACUCCCUGGCUUCCUAG